rnacentral:sRNA from 1 species
CGGCUGGCAAGCUUGCUUGCCGAGACGCACAGACAUUGGACGGGGCAACGGGUAUGAGCACGCAGGCGUAUGCGCCGGAGUGCGAAUGCCUGUCAGGAUUGCGGGAGUGCAAUGCACGGAGCAAUCCGC